GUUCUUGUAGUUGAGGUACAACGAUGGUUCUUCAAGCCAUUAGUCUCGGUUAAAAUCUGAGUAAGAACU
rnacentral:tRNA from 1 species